AACUUUGGGAUGGCAGUUGGAAACGACUGCUAAUACCGAAUGCCGUUACGAAGUGGCAUCACUUUGUAACGAAAGAAUUUCGGUUCGGGAGGGCCUCGCGGCCUAUCAGCUAGUUGGUGGGGUAACGGCCUACCAAGGCAUCGACGGGUAGCUGGUCUGAGAGGAUGAUCAGCCACACUGGGACUGAGACACGGCCCAGACUCCUACGGGAGGCAGCAGUGGGGAAUCUUGUGCAAUGGGCGAAAGCCUGACACAGCCACGCCGCGUGCGGGAAGAAGGCCUUCGGGUUGUAAACCGCUUUCAGCAGGAACGAAAAUGACGGUACCUGCAGAAGAAGAUGCGGCCAACUACGUGCCAGCAGCCGCGGUGAUACGUAGGCAUCAAGCGUUGUCCGGAUUUAUUGGGCGUAAAGAGCUCGUAGGCGGUUCAGCAAGUCGGGUGUGAAAACUCUGGGCUUAACCCAGAGCCUGCACUCGAAACUGCUGUGACUAGAGUUCGGUAGGGGAGCAGGGAAUUCCUAGUGUAGCGGUGAAAUGCGCAGAUAUUAGGAGGAACACCAAUGGCGAAGGCACUGCUCUGGGCCGAUACUGACGCUGAGGAGCGAGAGCGUGGGUAGCAAACAGGAUUAGAUACCCUGGUAGUCCACGCCGUAAACGAUGGGCACUAGGUGUGGGUCUCUAACCAACGAGAUCUGCGCCGUCGCUAACGCAUUAAGUGCCCCGCCUGGGGAGUACGGUCGCAAGACUAAAACUCAAAGGAAUUGACGGGGGCCCCGCACAAGCAGCCGGAGCGUGUUGCUUAAUUCGAUGCUACGCGAA
rnacentral:rRNA from 1 species